rnacentral:rRNA from 1 species
UACGAAGGAUUCGAGCGUUAUCCGGAUUUAUUGGGUUUAAAGGGUGCGUAGGUGGACUAAUAAGUCAGUGGUGAAAGCCCGCAGCUUAACUGCGGAACUGCCAUUGAUACUGUUAGUCUUGAGUACAGUUGAGGUGGGCGGAAUGUGUCAUGUAGCGGUGAAAUGCUUAGAUAUGACACAGAACACCAAUUGCGAAGGCAGCUCACUAAGCUGUAACUGACACUGAGGCACGAAAGCGUGGGGAGCAAACAGG